CUGGCGGGUGCGGCCGUCACCGCCGCUUCCCCGGGUCUGGAUGGGGUCGCUCGCGGCGGCAGCGGGGGCGGUGGCCCCAACGGGAAAUCCGGGAAGGCUGCGGGGUUGGCACCGGCCACAAGGACCUCAAGGUCUAGCUGUGCUAAUGACUCAUAGUUUAUCUCAACCAUGUAUAAAGAAUGCAGAAGACUCCAGAAGGUGGGGGAGCCACUAGAGGAUUCCAUCCAGGACACCACAUUUAAUUGUUAUGAUGUCUUGUGCUCCUCUUGGCUGUGAGAGUUUCUCAGAUUUUCCUUGUAUUUGAUGACCUUGACAGUCCUUAGGAGUACUGGUGAGGUAU
rnacentral:lncRNA from 1 species